AACUUCCUUAUUUGCAGCACUGCCAGGGUAAUUUUGUAUCCUCUGCAUACUACAGCUAUUUGUCAGGACCCUGCAGGUGUGCACUGCACAUAAACACACAGCUGUAGCCUAGCAAGCCAAGUGUUCCAUCAAACACAUAAAGGGAGACCUCAGCAGUUGGAUUAGUCAUCUCUGCAACAGGUCCGGGGAGAACAAUAUGGGCUGAAUAUCUCCACUUCCCUUCACUGAUUCUUGUAUGACAGUUUCCAAUCACACAAACUAGUCACUUCCCUAUGCUCUGGACCUGCUACAGAAAACUCUGGAAGUGUUAGGAUCCAAAUGUGGUGGUUCCUCUGAUGUUUAUUCACCAACUAUAAAGGAUCUUGCCAAGGUCAUCCACUGCAUCCUGAGCACUGUCAAUCAUCCUGAUUUUUGUCUUACUACUGGAUUUCAAUGAAGCUGGAAGAAGAGUGAGGCUGACAACUUUGUGCAACUCUGCCUCAUUUAAAUUCA